GACCACGGUGCCGCAUGGCACAGGGGUAAAAGAUUUAUCGGUGUGAGAUGGAUCCGCGUCUGAUUAGCCAGUUGGCGGGGUAACGGCCCACCAAAGCGACGAUCAGUAGCCGGCCUGAGAGGGUGAACGGCCACAUUGGGACUGAGACACGGCCCAAACUCCUACGGGAGGCAGCAGUGGGGAAUAUUGCACAAUGGGCGCAAGCCUGAUGCAGCAACGCCGCGUGAGUGAAGACGUAUUUCGGUAUGUAAAGCUCUAUCGGCAGGGAAGAAAGGCCCGCAAGGGAGAUGACGGUACCUGACUAAGAAGCCCCGGCUAACUACGUGCCAGCAGCCGCGGUAAUACGUAGGGGGCAAGCGUUAUCCGGAUUUACUGGGUGUAAAGGGAGCGCAGACGGCAUUACAAGUCUGAUGUGAAAGCCCGGGGCUCAACCCCGGAACUGCAUUGGAAACUGUAGAGCUCGAGUGUCGGAGGGGUAAGCGGAAUUCCUAGUGUAGCGGUGAAAUGCGUAGAUAUUAGGAGGAACACCGGUGGCGAAGGCGGCUUACUGGACGACUACUGACGUUGAGGCUCGAAAGCG
rnacentral:rRNA from 1 species